AGUGAACGCUGGCGGUAGGCCUAACACAUGCAAGUCGAACGGCAGCACAGGAGAGCUUGCUCUCUGUGUGGCGAGUGGCGGACGGGUGCGGAAUACAUCGUAAUCUGCCCAGUCGUUGGGGAUAACGUAGGGAAACUUACGCUAAUACCGCAUACGACCUUCUGGUGAAAGAGGUGGAACGCAAGACCUCUCGCGAUUGGCUUAGCCGAUGUCGGAUUCGCUAGUUUGAGGGGUAAUGGCACACCAAGGCGACGAUCCGUAGCUGGUCUGAGAGGAUGAUAAGCCACACUGGAACUGACACACGGUCCAGACUCCUACGGGAGGCAGCAGUGAGGAAUAUUGGCCAAUGGGCGCAAGCCUGAUCCAGCCAUACCGCGUGGGUGAAGAAGGCCUUCGCGUUGUAAAGCCCAUUUGUUGGGAAAGAAAUCGUUCAGGCUAAUACCCUGGGAGGAUGACGGUACCCAAAGAAUAAGCACCGGCUAACUUCGUC
rnacentral:rRNA from 1 species